GCCUAAUCAGACCUCUGCAAACAGGCAGGUCUGCGGACGCCAUAGCAACGGCCUGAGUCGCGCAGAACGCGCCGAAUCAGAACGCGCCGAAUCAGCCCACGCCCCAGCAGCAAUCCACGGGACCCCCCCCCCCCCCACACACACCCUCCACUGUACAGCCAUCUGGUUCCACACUACAAAGACGCAGAGGACACCGGACCACCAGACCACUGUACUGGUUUACAGUGGGUAUAUGAGAACCUAUCCUCAUCAUAAACCCAGGAGCAUCUGAUGAAGACAGUUGAUAUGAACUGACCCCCCC
rnacentral:lncRNA from 1 species